UACGGAGGGUGCAAGCGUUAAUCGGAAUUACUGGGCGUAAAGCGCACGCAGGCGGCUGAGUCAGUCGAUUGUGAAAGCCCUGGGCUUAACCUGGGAAUUGCAGUCGAUACUACUUAGCUAGAGUAUGGGAGAGGGCAGUGGAAUUCCCGGUGUAGCGGUGAAAUGCGUAGAUAUCGGGAGGAACAUCAGUGGCGAAGGCGGCUGCCUGGCCCAAUACUGACACUCAGGUGCGAAAGCGUGGGGAGCAAACAGG
rnacentral:rRNA from 1 species